rnacentral:sRNA from 1 species
CAUUGGAGAACAAGGAGAGGUUUGUGAAUGCGGAAGGUGUAGAGCUGAUGAUUAUUAUCAUGA